rnacentral:rRNA from 1 species
UACGGAGGGGGCUAGCGUUGUUCGGAAUUACUGGGCGUAAAGCGCACGUAGGCGGCUUUGUAAGUUAGAGGUGAAAGCCCAGGGCUUAACCCUGGAAUUGCCUUUAAGACUGCAUCGCUCGAAUUGUGGAGAGGUGAGUGGAAUUCCGAGUGUAGAGGUGAAAUGCGUAGAUAUCGGGAGGAACACCUGUGGCGAAAGCGGCUCACUGGACCAUAACUGACGCUGAUGCACGAAAGCUGGGGGAGCAAACAGG